rnacentral:misc_RNA from 1 species
AGCUAGCUAGCUAGCUUUAUCCCAUGCAUGAACUCACUCAUGCGACUCAGUUUCUAACUUCAUGACGACGACCUUACUGCUCUCCCAUUGCAUCUGGUUGAUCAAGUCUCUGGAUUACUGUGCGCGAGCUUAUGUCUGUAUAAUCUUGAUCGAUGGGUCGGUCUCUGUCAUGGCAUCCUGCCUCCAUUGAAGGACGAGGCCGACUUCAACUCAGCCUCCAUGGAGCUCAUAUCGCUGCUGCUCUGGUGGUCUCCUCUCGGCGUCGAUAUCCCGCGCACGAGGCCGCCUCCGCCGACGCCAAGGAAGUCCCGCGUGAUGUCUCCGCCACCACCCUGGCCGAAGCCGAACUUCCCCUCGCGCUCCGCCAUGUCGCACAGCUGCCUCGGAUCAAACAUGCCCGCGUGGCCGGCGCCGUUGCUGCCGCCGCCGAACAUUCCUCCGCCGGCACCGAGGCCACCGCCUCCAGCGAGCGAGUUCAUCAGGUCGUUCAGGUUCGCGUCGCUCUGUUCCAUGUGCGGCGUCGCUGGCCGCACGUGUUGUGGGGAAGAGCCCGCGAAGCCUCGGAACAUGGACGCCGCGCUGGCGCCGUUGGCGCUCGUGGUCGCGCCCAUCUGCGCCGCCUUCUGGAGCAGAGCGGUCGCCGACAUCUGCGGCAGCAUGGAGGCUUGGUCUCUG